GCUCUUGUAGCUUAGGGGUAGAGCAUCAGUUAAGCAACUACGAGAGCGAUCUAAGUACGCUGGUUCGAUUCCAGCCAAGGGCA